UUUUUUUAAUUACUCCUUUAUACCAGUAAGCAAACUUGGAGAAUCUAUUCCCAAAAAUUUUACAGGGAUGUGGAGUAGACACUUUUGUCUACCAUUAAGGCUUAGCUGGAGUCAGAAAGAAAGAUAUAAUUAGGGGUCACAAAAGGUUUUUACCUGAUGCUCUUUUUUUUGUUAUUGUUGUUGUUUUGUUUUUGUUUUUGUUUUUUUGACCUUGAGGGAUUAAGGAAGAAGAAGGGGAACAGAGAAGCAGAUGACAAGAGGCUCACAUGGGUGUCCCAAUUUCCCUUCUCUGGACUUUGACUUGGAGAGGGUGCAAGUACAUUAGAGAGAACACUGAGAACAAGAGAGGAGACAUUGACUUUGCUUCCCAUUUAACACUGUGCAAGAGGCCACCUCUUGAAUUGCCCCCUGCCCUAAACUGUAGUAUAGCCAUGGCAACUGGACAGCUUGGUGUGGUUGGGCAGAGGGACGUAUCUUCGCCAUCUUGGGCUGCCAUAACAAAAUUCCAUAGAUUGAGUGAUUUAAACAACAGAAGUUAAUUUUCUCAAAGUUCUGGGGGCCAGGAAGUCCAAGAUCAAGGUGCUGGCUGAUUCAAUUUCUGAUGAGAGCUCUCUUCCUGGCUUGCAGAUGGCUGCCUUGCUGUGUCCUCAUAUGGUGGAGAGCGAGGGAAUGGCCUCCCUGGUGUCUCUUCUUAUAAGGGCACUAAUUCUAUCAGAUUAUGGCUCCACCCUUAUGACCUCAUUUAACUUUAAUUACCUCCUUAAAGGCCCUAUCUGUAAAUAUAGUUACAUUGAGGGUUAGGCUUUGUGUUAGUCUGUUCUCACGCUGCUAAUAAAGACAUACCUGAGACUGGAUAGUUUAUAAAAGAAAGAGGUUUAAUUGACUCACAGUUCCAUAUGGCUGGGGAGGCCUCACAGUCAUGGUGAACGGGGAAUGAGGAGCAGUCACGUCUUACUAACGGUGGCAGGCAAGACAGCUUGUUCAGGAAAAUUCCCGUUUAUAAAACCAUCAGAUCUCCUGAGACUACAAUGAGAACAGUAUGGAGGAAACCACCCCCUUGAUUCAGUUAUCUCCAUCUGGCCCUGCUCUUGACACAUGGGGAUUAUUAUAAUCCAGGGUGAGAUUUGGGUGGGGACACAGCCAAACCACAUCAGGCUUCAAUAUGUGACUUUUGGGGGUACAAAGUUCAGUCCAUAGCAAUUCAGUCCUUUGGAAUUUAGCAUCCUGGAGCUGCCCUGGGAUCCUGAAUGGUCUACGUCAACCCAGAGGUGGCUGAGGAUGUGGCUGAAGAGUUUCCUAGCAGGGGCCACAGUACCAGAGUGAGGUACCAGACCUGCAUCCUGCUUAAAAAUCCAGCAUGCACCCUGGAGAAUUGCUGGCACUUGGCAAAUAUUUAUUGAAAUGAGCCGUUGGGCUGUAUCUUCUUUUUGCAUGUGUAAUAGGAGUGUCCCUUGUUCUCCAGCCUUCAGGAGUCACCCUUUCCUUGAACGUCCUCUGAAUAUCAGCCCCAGAUCUGUAGGAAGUCCACUUGAGUCUUCAGUAAAUGCUGAUAUGUUCUUUUUCUUUGAGACGGCGUCUCGCUGCUGACUCCCAGGCUGGAAUACUCUGGCGUGAUCUUUGCUCACUGCAACCUCCACCGCCUGGGUUCAAGCGAUUCUCCUGCCUCAGCCUCCUGAGUAACUGGGACUACAGCAUCCCCCUUGGGAGGAUGAGGAAGAAGGUCACAUUCUCAGGAUGGUGGAGAAAAAAGCUAGAAGGAGACUGGGUACCUGAUGUCCGUGGUGCUGCCCUGUUAGCUCUGGACUGCCUUUCUUCAAAUUCCUUAUUAAGAAAAACAACCUCUGUCUUGACUGAUAUGCUUUUAUUUGUUUUUUUGUUUGUUUGUUUUUUGGUUCCCUGCAGUUGAAUUUAAUUCCCAACUGAUAUAAUUAUGUUUAGUGCAAAGGCUCAACUGGGUAUGAUUGUCAUGAGAUCACUUCAGCCAAUAAACAGAAAUUAUGAUAAUUUUUUUUUUUAAUUUUUUUGCUGUGGUCUCUGUUGCCUAGGCUGGAGUGCAGUGGCGCAAUCAUAGCUCACUGCAGCCUCAAACUCCUGGGCUCAAACCAUCCUCCCACCUCAGCCACACAAAGCACUGGGAUUACAGAUGUGAGCCACCACGCCCAGCCAGAAAUCACUUUUCAUAAUUUACACACAUUGACUUUCUUAGAUGACAGACACAGGCCAAGCUCAAAUCCAGAGGAGCAGCUGGAGGGAAAUGGUGCAUGUGAAAUGAACAGGCAUUACUUUUCACUGGUGCAUGCUGGGAGGAGGUGAUCCAUGGCCAGGUUGUGUAGCUGCCAGCCCAUCACAUUCAUCAGGAAGCUCAUCUGCAACUCCGAUACACAGAGUCAAGGCUCUGGGGUCAGAAGGACAGCUGAGAUUCUCUAGACAAUAAGUAUCAUUUGGACUCACAAACCUCUUGAAUCAUUGUAAUGAUCCUCUGGCACUUUGCAGAAAAUAAGUUCUACCCUCUGUACAUAAAAAGGUGUGUUCGGCCAGGCAUGGUGGCUCAUGCUGGUAAUCCCAGCACUUUGGGAGGCCGAGGCGGGCAGAUCACUGGAGGUCAAGAGUUCGAGACCAGCCUGGCCAACGUGGCAAAACCCAUUCUCUACUAAAAAUACGAAAAUUAGCUGGUUGUGGUGGCGUGUGCCUGUAAUCCCAGCUACUCGGGAGGCUGAGGCAGGAGAAUCGCCUGAACCCGGGAGGC
ensembl:lncRNA novel transcript